CUUGACCGAGCCGAGCCACAGAGGUUCGCCGUCGGCCCGGUCCUGGCCGUAGGUGGCCAGCAGGGCCUGCGCCUC
rnacentral:antisense_RNA from 3 species